CGUGGUCAUUUAUUAGUUAUGUAUACCAAUACUUGUUGUAUUUUAUUUUAUGUAAGAUAAAUAACUUUAUUAUACACUUUUUUUGGAUUCAUGAAUUUGGAUUUGUGUUUUUCAUUUUAUGUCUUCCUUUCUUUCCUUUUUAUUUUUUCACCACCCUCUUGAGUGUCACACGUGUGUGUGUGUGUGUGUGUGUGUGUGUGUGUGUGUGUAUUGUCUAAGAGAAGCAGCCAGCGCUCACACGGGCUGAGUGUGUCUCUCAGCAGGAUUACUCUCACUGGCAGUGUGUGUGAGCUCUCAGUGUGUGUGAGCGCUCAGUGUGUGUUGAGGUUCUGUGUGUGUUCCAGCUGCACCCAUGUCUCCGUGGUCCCCUCUGCUGCAAGGACUCUCUCUUGGCUGCCUAUUCUCACUGCUGCCUCUCCUAAUCCCACAAGUUGACGGGCUGCAGUGUUAUGCCUGUAACAUCGUCCAGGGUCAGAGGUAUGUGGAUGUAGGCUGCUCCAGCCCUGAGGUCAUCACCUGCUCCCAUUCCCACAAAGGCUUCAAGCAGCGCUUCUGCAUCAGAACAGAGAGCAUUACCCUGGGCAUCGUGCUGACCAGUGGAUGUGCCACAUCCCACCACUGCCACACUGAGGAGCUCCCAGGAGUCAAAAUACACUGCUGCGACUCAGACCUGUGCAACAGCGCCUCCUCAUGGCACAUAUCUUCAUUACAGGCACUUUGCUCACUGACAGUCACUCUUGCAGUGGUGUGGUUACAUCUAUGAUCACCUCUGAUCUGAACUGAUUUUUCCUGAAGAAAGAGCCGAGCAGAACUGGAGCAAAUCUUCCCAUACCUGUGGAACAUGGCAAUGGAUGGACACUGUCAUGAUAUGUUAUCUUACAGUGCAAGUUUUAUAUUGAAAGUUCAGACAUUCUUAUUUGGAAUGGACAGUCUACAAAAAAAAAAUGGGAUGAGAAAAUGGGAAUGGAUGCUGUAUGUGAUGCUGAUCAUGUAGCCUAAGUAAUUGCACUAAAAAGGGAACACUGGUCCUUUCUUCUUUUUUUAGAAUACUAUUGGGGGACGUUGGUGUCGAUUGAUAUGGAUCAAAAAGCGAUACUUCAACUACUGAUUAUUAUUAUUAGCAUUAUUCAUAGUCUACUCUAUUUAAUCUGAUCAAUACUAUCAAUAUUAUUAGCAUUUCUCAAUCAUCAAACAACCCAGCCAGCAUUCUUAUGUAGGGUUCACAUGCGUGGACUAUGGGCUAAGAGGGUUUCAGGUGGGCUUGGGUUUGAACCCAAAUGGGUGUCAUAACAGCCCACCCUAAUCUCAGAAUACAUCAGCCAGAUCCUCUUGGGCUUGUGCACUAUAGGUGUAAAAUGUUCCUUAUGUCAUCGGAGUGCAGAUUUAGAGGAGGACCACUGUAUAAAACAGGGGUUCUCAACUGGUUUCAGCCCAGGAUCCACAUUUUCUCAUGUUCAUUAGGUCACAAAACACUUGUAUAGAAUUUUUGAAAACAGCCUUCAAAACACAUUUAAACAUACAUAUUCAUGUAAAGUGAAUAUAAUAGAUUUUUUUAAGAAACUGAGGAGAAACAUGACCACUGUAUAAACAUUACUAAACUAAAAUUAAAUAUCACAAUUUGAUAUUUCACUUUUCUGCAUCUCUCUGCAUUCAGAUUACAUUAAUAAACUCAUAUAAACAAUGAGUAAAAAAUCA
ensembl:lncRNA